ACAGGGAUUGCCCUAGUAACGGCGAGUGAAGCGGCAACAGCUCAAAUUUGAAAUCUGGCGUCUUCGGCGUCCGAGUUGUAAUUUGCAGAGGGCGCUUUGGCAUUGGCAGCGGUCCAAGUUCCUUGGAACAGGACGUCACAGAGGGUGAGAAUCCCGUACGUGGUCGCUAGCCUUUACCGUGUAAAGCCCCUUCGACGAGUCGAGUUGUUUGGGAAUGCAGCUCUAAAUGGGAGGUAAAUUUCUUCUAAAGCUAAAUACUGGCCAGAGACCGAUAGCGCACAAGUAGAGUGAUCGAAAGAUGAAAAGCACUUUGGAAAGAGAGUUAAAAAGCACGUGAAAUUGUUGAAAGGGAAGCGCUUGCAGCCAGACUUGCCUGUAGUUGCUCAUCCGGGUUUCUACCCGGUGCACUCUUCUAUAGGCAGGCCAGCAUCAGUUUGGGCGGUUGGAUAAAGGUCUCUGUCAUGUACCUCUCUUCGGGGAGAACUUAUAGGGGAGACGACAUGCAACCAGCCUGGACUGAGGUCCGCGCAUCUGCUAGGAUGCUGGCGUAAUGGCUGUAAGCGGCCCGUCUUGAAACACGGACCAAGGAGUCUAACAUCUAUGCGAGUGUUUGGGUGUCAAGCCCGAGCGCGUAAUGAAAGUGAACGGAGGUGGGAACCUUUCGGGGUGCACCAUCGACCGAUCCUGAUGUCUUCGGAUGGAUUUGAGUAAGAGCAUAGCUGUUGGGACCCGAAAGAUGGUGAACUAUGCUUGAAUAGGGUGAAGCCAGAGGAAACUCUGGUGGAGGCUCGCAGCGGUUCUGACGUGCAAAUCGAUCGUCAAAUUUGGGCAUAGGGGCGAAAGACUAAUCGAACUAUCUAGUAGCUGGUCUGC
rnacentral:rRNA from 1 species